rfam:Tupaia chinensis contig1955, whole genome shotgun sequence.
AGCUUUGCGCAGUGGCAGUAUCGUAGCCAAUGAGGUUUAUCCGAGGCACGAUUAUUGCUAAUUGAAAUUUCCCUAUUCAUUCUCCUUUAAGGACUUCAGUCAUGCAUACAUAUAUGC